GUUUCAAUUCCUCAUAGGCAGGCUAUCGGCUCCGUAGUUCUCGUUUUCCGGACCGCCGAAGAGGUG
rnacentral:sRNA from 1 species